rnacentral:rRNA from 1 species
GACGAACGCUGGCGGCGUGGAUUAGGCAUGCAAGUCGAACGGUAUCAUCCUUUCGGGGGUGAGAGAGUGGCGAACUGGUGAGUAACACGUAGGUUAUCUACCCUCAAGACGGGGACAACCCAGGGAAACUUGGGCUAAUACCGGAUGUGAGCAACUUUUAGUUGUUUGAAAGGUGGCGUAAGCUGUCGCUUGGGGAUGAGCCUGCGUCCUAUUAGUUAGUUGGUGAGGUAACGGCUCACCUAGGCAAUGAUAGGUAGGCGGCCUUAACGGGUGGUCGCCCACACUGGGAUUGAGAUACGGCCCAGACUCCUACGGGAGGCAGCAGUCGAGAAUAGUCUACAAUGGUCGGAAGACUGAUAGUGCGACGCCGCGUGAACGAUGAAUCCCUUCGGGGUGUAAAGUUCUUUUAUAUGUGAGCAGUGCUUCUUAUAUUAACAGUAUGGGGAAGAGAUAUUAGCAUAUGAAUAAGCAACGGCUAACUCCGUGCCAGCAGCCGCGGCAAAA